rfam:Schistosoma rodhaini strain Burundi genome assembly, scaffold: SROB_scaffold0007178
AUUCAUCUGACGAGUUCUAAAUAGGACGAAAUAUGCUUCCUGGAU